rnacentral:rRNA from 1 species
GAUGAACGCUGGCGGCGUGCUUAACACAUGCAAGUCGAACGAUGAAGCCCAGCUUGCUGGGUGGAUUAGUGGCGAACGGGUGAGUAACACGUGAGUAACCUGCCCUUAACUCUGGGAUAAGCCUGGGAAACUGGGUCUAAUACCGGAUAGGAGCGCCUACCGCAUGGUGGGUGUUGGAAAGAUUUAUCGGUUUUGGAUGGACUCGCGGCCUAUCAGCUUGUUGGUGAGGUAAUGGCUCACCAAGGCGACGACGGGUAGCCGGCCUGAGAGGGUGACCGGCCACACUGGGACUGAGACACGGCCCAGACUCCUACGGGAGGCAGCAGUGGGGAAUAUUGCACAAUGGGCGAAAGCCUGAUGCAGCGACGCCGCGUGAGGGAUGACGGCCUUCGGGUUGCAAACCUCUUUCAGUAGGGAAGAAGCGAAAGUGACGGUACCUGCAGAAGAAGCACCGGCUAACUACGUG